UUUACCCCAUUGGUGCUAUAUGCAAAAUUUAGUUGCAAAUUGAAAGUAUUUAAAUGGUUACACACAGCAGACAAAAAAAAAACAACAUAUACUGAUUGCAGUAGGACUAAAUGAAAAUAAAACAGAAUGGUUUACUAUGCUUAUCACUUCAUAUAGUGUGUCAAAUAAAACAGUUUUCUGUAUGAUAAAAGCUGAAAUUCAUCAAAAUGUUCUACCUCAUUUCCCAAAACAUUAACAGAUGCUUUCAACACCUACUUACAUGUAUCAACCCAUCCUUGUACAUGUAUGUCAAACUAGGACAAGAUUUUAAAGAUCAAACAACAGUUAACUAGCGGACGAUAAAAGAGGUAUAUUCCUAUCACCACGGAGUACCACUCCAUCCAGUGUCAAGAAAACAAAUGAAAUUCCCAACCCCACAGAAAUACAGGCUGUGAGUUGAACAGGUACAGAACUUUGUCGUGAUAUUAGCAUGUAAAAGAAAUGGAAGAAAAGUCUUGAGACAGCAGAUUCAAUACCGGCCAUCAAAGUCGUCUAACAACCUCCCAAAACAUAACAUCAUGGAUGUUAUUCCUGUAAAAUAAAACUCAUGUCAGUACCCAGCUUUGAACUCAAGCUUUCUAUACAACUCCCAAAAUGAAUAGGAAUUUUAUUCAAAACUCCUUAAAGGUGUAUUCAUCUUAAUGGAGAGAUCACAGUUUACUUCAGGACCAUGGCAUUUCGACAGGCACAUCCUCGCUUACAGGUGUGUGGCUUUGUGGUAAUCCUGACAGGUCCUCCGUGGACACCGAUAUCAAUUCAGAGGCCCUACAGUGAUUCUGUUAGGGAGCAUUUGUCCUGAAUCAACACUGGCCCAUAGAAAGCUUUCAAAAACAUGGGAGAAUAAACUUAUAAAUCAUAAAAACCCAUUUCUCAUCACUUUGUUGCAUCACUUGGAAAUAAACAUGUUUUUCAUCG